rnacentral:rRNA from 1 species
GACGAACGCUGGCGGCGUGCCUAAUACAUGCAAGUCGAACGCAGUGGGGACGGGUGAGUAACACGUGGGUAACCUCCCAUCAGAGGGGAUAACACUUGGAAACAGGUGCUAAAACGAUACUGAUGGAUGGACCCGCGGUGCAUUAGCUAGUUGGUGAGGUAACGGCUCACCAAGGACAAGAUGGAUAGACGGCCUUAGAGGUUGAUCGGCCACACUAGGACUUAUACACGGCCCAGACUCCUAAGGGAGGCAGCAGUAGGGAAUCUUCGGCAAUGGACGAAAGUCUGACCGAUCAACGCCGCGUGAGUGAAGAAGGUUUUCGGAUCGUAAAACUCUGUUGUUAGAGAAGCGGUAUCUAACCAGAAAGCCACGGCUAACUACGUGCCAGCAGCCGCGGUAAUUC